AAGUAUUAGGUAAAUAACUCUUCUUUCCUCGGCACGCCCCGUAUCCGUAGAUCACGGUGCGUCUUCGGAAAGUAAAAGUUGUUCCUAAUAUUAAUCUAACAAGAAAGUAUAAAUAAAAACAUAUAAAGGAGAGCAAAUAAAGAACUCAUGACAAUUUAAAUAAAAAGCAUAAUCUUUAUUGCAUAUAAAGAAAUACAGGAAAGUUUAGAACAAUAAACCAUCUCUGUGUCGUUACAAAAUUUUUUCUCCACUCCCGAGACUGCUAGC
rnacentral:lncRNA from 1 species